rnacentral:misc_RNA from 1 species
GGAUAAACAAAUAAAACCUGAGGCUCAAGAAUGGGUUCUACACGAGACUGAUUCUGAGAACCAAGUGAACCUUGCAAUCUUCCAGAAACUUCAGAUUUUCGAGUAAUAUAUUGCCUCUGAAGUGCCGGAAUAUCACAAUUAGGAUGAAGUCCAACAACUACCAUGCUCUCAAAAAGCCUUGAGGGCUCCUUUAAAGACCUAUGAUCCAAGUAC